rnacentral:tmRNA from 1 species
GGGGGUGAAUUAGUUUCGACGUGGGCAGGAAGAGCAUCAGAAGCGAGCCGAGGUCCCCGCGUCCUCGUUAAAAAGCGGGAAAGCAAUAACUGCAAACAACGAUUACGCUUUAGCUGCUUAAGUCGGCUAACGCCGCUUGUUUCCUCCGUCUGUAGGAAGCGAGGCCGGCGUCACAAUACAGACUACUCCUUCGGCACAGCCCGGAGCUGAAGGGGGAAACUAACGGGCUGGUUCAUCCUUGCCGCCCGCUGCAAGGCAGAAGGAUGAACGAGAUCUGAAAUUGCAGCUGCGCUCGGAGAUGCUGGUGCGAUUUCGCUUGCGGACAGCGGUGCAACUCCGCUCACCUCCACCA